rnacentral:rRNA from 1 species
UACGUAGGGUGCGAGCGUUAAUCGGAAUUACUGGGCGUAAAGCGUGCGCAGGCGGUUUUGUAAGCCAGAUGUGAAAUCCCCGGGCUCAACCUGGGAAUGGCAUUUGGGACUGUAAGGCUGGAGUAUGGCAGAGGAGACUAGAAUUCCUGGUGUAGCAGUGAAAUGCGUAGAUAUCAGGAGGAAUACCGAUGCGAAGGCAGGUCUCUGGGCCAAUACUGACGCUCAUGCACGAAAGCGUGGGGAGCAAACAGG